UGGUACAAGGAGAAUGAAGACUCACCAAAAGCAUCAGGACAGAACUUCACCAUCACUGACUUCAGAGCUGAACACAGUGGGAAAUAUUACUGUGAAGCCCAGAACAGAAGAGGACGUCAUAACUCCAUCUUACAUCUGACUGUUGUUGCAGGUUCAUUGAAAUUUCCAGUUGCUCUAUCAGUCAGUGCUGUUGUUCUGGUCUUCAUUCUUCUUCUCUCUGUCGUCCUGUGGAUUAGAAGAGAGAGGUCUUUGCAACAACAACCUGAGGCUGGUGAGAGACCACACAACAGAGCAGAGGAGACAGAUGAACUUCAGUAUGCAAGCGUACAGUGCGUUAGGAACGAGUCAGAGGCUCUCUACUCCAACUUCAGCCCAGCUCAGCCCCUCAGAAACGAGGAGGAGGUUGUUUACGCAAACCCGAAUUUCAACAGUGCUGCAGGAACAAGGCGUCAAGCAGCUGUGGAGGAUGUAUCUGCCCUGUACAGCAGAGUUAAUAGAAGCCACUGAGUGUGAUGACAACAUGGAUCUGUGGUCUGUAUUUAUGCAUGGACUUUCGAUGGGCCCAUUACAUUUUUCCUCAAGACAGAAUUGGUUAAGAGUGCAGAAUUAAGGCAACAAUAUUUCAUUUACAUCUUAUAUUAAUGAAGGACAGGUAGAUUAAAUAUUAGAUACCUCCCUAACGGUUACAUUAAAACCUUCAUGAAAGUAGGAUUUAUCACAGGACAGUUGUGUUGAACGGCGUUAGUUUUAGAUCAGUGUACUUAAUAAUACACUUCCAUCUUUUCAGGACAAUGUUUUUUUUCUUUGUCUUUGUUUUUUUUACUGUUUUGAUUAUUAUAUGAUCACAACUGUUACAAUGUAAGUCAUUCACACCUAUUGCCAAUAUUUUUAUGCUCAUUUUCUGAAUUUGUAUUUUAUUGUCAUUUCAAACUGAGUAUUUACAUUUCUUUACAUGUUUUGUAUUGUUUUGUCUUGCAAGGAAAAUAGUGAGUAAGACUCUUGUGUUUGGCCUGAUGAGUGACAGCUUGGAAACACUUUUUAAAAAAUGUAAAUGGUUAUAAACUUUAUUUUUAGCUGCAUUUAAGUCUUUGACAUUGAGUUUGUAUUCCAAUCUGAUUAACCAGAACAUUUAUUACAUCUUUUUGAAGUUGUAAAAUCUGAAAUGAAAAGCGCUCCAUCGUUUCGGGGCAUGCAUUAACUUUGAAAACAACAGUUUUUUGCAGUAAAAUAGAAACCAAUCUGUACACAUGAUGUUGCUAACAGAGCUCAUAGCAGGGCAGUAUGUCAUUUAUCCAGUUUGUCUCUUACUAGUCUGAAGUGUGGUGAGAGUGAGAGUUUG